CAGAUUGAACGCUGGCGGCAGGCCUAACACAUGCAAGUCGGACGGUAGCACAGAGGAGCUUGCUCCUCGGGUGACGAGUGGCGGACGGGUGAGUAAUGUCUGGGGAUCUGCCCGAUAGAGGGGGAUAACCACUGGAAACGGUGGCUAAUACCGCAUAACGUCGCAAGACCAAAGAGGGGGACCUUCGGGCCUCUCACUAUCGGAUGAACCCAGAUGGGAUUAGCUAGUAGGCGGGGUAACGGCCCACCUAGGCGCGACGAUCCCUAGCUGGUCUGAGAGGAUGACCAGCCACACUGGAACAGACACGGUCCAGACUCCUACGGGAGGCAGCAGUGGGGAAUAUUGCACAAUGGGCGCAAGCCUGAUGCAGCCAUGCCGCGUGUAUGAAGAAGGCCUUCGGGUUGUAAAGUACUUUCAGCGGGGAGGAAGGCAGUGAGGUUAAUAACCUUACUGAUUGACGUUACCCGCAGAAGAAGCACCGGCUAACUCCGUGCCAGCAGCCGCGUGGUAAUACGGAGGGUGCAAGCGUUAAUCGGAAUUUGGGCGUAAAGCGCACGCAGGCGGUCUGUUAAGUCAGAUGUGAAAUCCCCGGGCUUAACCUGGGAACUGCAUUUGAAACUGGCAGGCUUGAGUCUCGUAGAGGGGGGUAGAAUUCCAGGUGUAGCGGUGAAAUGCGUAGAGAUCUGGAGGAAUACCGGUGGCGAAAGGCGGCCCCCUGGACGAAGACUGACGCUCAGUGCACGAAAGCGUGGGGAGCAAACAGGAUUAGAUACCC
rnacentral:rRNA from 1 species